rnacentral:rRNA from 1 species
AACGAACGCUGGCGGCAGGCCUAACACAUGCAAGUCGAACGCCCCGCAAGGGGAGUGGCAGACGGGUGAGUAACGCGUGGGAACCUUCCCAGUGGUACGGAAUAACUGACCGAAAGGUUGGCUAAUACUGUAUCCGCCCGAAAGGGGAAAGAUUUAUCGCCAUUGGAUGGGCCCGCGUCGGAUUAGCUAGUUGGUGAGGUAAUGGCUCACCAAGGCGACGAUCCGUAGCUGGUCUGAGAGGAUGAUCAGCCACACUGUGACUGAGACACGGCCCAGACUCCUACGGGAGGCAGCAGUGGGGAAUAUUGGACAAUGGGCGCAAGCCUGAUCCAGCCAUGCCGCGUGAGUGAUGAAGGUCUUCGGAUUGUAAAACUCUUUCGCCGGGGAAGAUAAUGACGGUACCCGGAGAAGAAGCCCCGGCUAACUUCGUGCCAGCCGCCGCCGUAA